AGUGAGCGCGAUAAGGGCAUUCGGUGGAUGCCUUGGCACCAGGAGGCGAUGAAGGACGUAGCACGCUGCGAAAAGCUACGGGGAGCCGCGAGCAGGCUUUGAUCCGUAGAUAUCCGAAUGGGGCAACCCACCCGCAAGGG
rnacentral:rRNA from 1 species